AACUUAGCAAUAAUAGCAUAUCAUCAAUAGAGGGUGGUUCCUUUGCCGAACUAAGCGCAUUGAGAGAAUUAGAGUUAAAUGAUAACCAACUCACUUCCAUUGGAAAUGCAAUGUUUUCGUCCAUGAAAAACCUAAAUUAUCUGAAACUUAGCAAUAAUAGCAUAUCAUCAAUAGAGGGUGGUUCCUUUGCCGACCUAAGCGCAUUAACAGAAUUG